rnacentral:rRNA from 1 species
UACGUAGGGACCAAGCGUUGUUCGGAUUUACUGGGCGUAAAGGGCGCGUAGGCGGCGUGACAAGUCACUUGUGAAAUCUCUGAGCUUAACUCAGAACGGCAAGUGAAACUGUUGUGCUAGAGUGCAGAAGGGGCAAUCGGAAUUCUUGGUGUAGCGGUGAAAUGCGUAGAUAUCAAGAGGAACACCUGAGGUGAAGACGGGUUGCUGGGCUGACACUGACGCUGAGGCGCGAAAGCCAGGGGAGCAAACGGG